rnacentral:rRNA from 1 species
UUAAUUCAUACAUCUUAUUUAAUUUCUGUUGUUGAUUUAUUUAUUUUUAUUUGAUGUUAAGAUUGAGGGGGAUUAGCUCCUUGUUCUGCUUUUAUAAUUGUCUAUUGUUAAUUUAGUUUUGUGGAUUUUAUGGUGAUUUUCUAUUUGAUUAUGUUAAAAUUUUAUUUGUUCUUUUUUUAAUUUUUUUGUUAUUUAAGUUAUUUAUUGAAAUGUUUUCUUUACUUUUGGUUUGUAUGGUAAUUAUUGUGUAAUUAGUAAAUUUUAUUGGUUGUUUUGUGAGUACAGUAGGUGUUAAUUGCUUUUGAGGAAUUCGGCAAAAUUUUAUGUCCGCCUGUUUAACAAAAACAUCUUUUCUUGUUAGUUUUUGAAGAAUGGCCUGCCCACUGACUUUAAGUUGAAGGGGCGCGGUAUUUUGUCCCUGCAAAGGAAACACAAUCAUUAUUUCUUUAAUUGUGAUCUGGGAUGAAUGGCCUGGCCAGACACAAGCUGUCUUAGAAGUAUUGUUUUAAUGAAUUUGGUUUUUGAGUUAAAAUUCUUAAAUGUUUUUAAGGGACGGGAAGACCCUAUAGAGUUUGACAACUUUCUUAUUUAUUCGUUGUUUGUUUUUUCCACGAAUGGGAAUGGAUUGUUUUGUUGGGGUGAUGGGAGGAAUAUUAUUUAACUCCUCUUUGUUUUUGUAUAUUUAUGUAUAUAUUUUUGAUCCAUUUAUUUUGAUUAUAAGAUUAAAUUACC